rnacentral:rRNA from 1 species
ACGAACGCUGGCGGCGUGCUUAACACAUGCAAGUCGAACGGUGAAGCGCCUUCCUUUUUGGUGGGUGUGGAUGAGUGGCGAACGGGUGAGUAACACGUGAGUAACCUGCCCCCUUCUUCUGGAUAACCGCAUGAAAGUGUGGCUAAUACGGGAUAUUCUGGGUCUGUCGCAUGAUGGGUCUGGGAAAGAUAUUGUUUCGGUGGGGGAUGGGCUCGCGGCCUAUCAGCUUGUUGGUGGGGUGAUGGCCUACCAAGGCGGUGACGGGUAGCCGGCCUGAGAGGGUGGACGGUCACACUGGGACUGAGACACGGCCCAGACUCCUACGGGAGGCAGCAGUGGGGAAUAUUGCACAAUGGGCGCAAGCCUGAUGCAGCGACGCCGCGUGAGGGAUGAGGCCUUCGGGUUGUGAACCUCUUUCGCCAGUGAAGCAGGCCUGCCUCGUUUGUGGGUGGGUUGACGGUAGCUGGAUAAGAAGCGCCGGCUAACUACGUG